CAGCAGGGCCCAGAGAGAAGAAAAAAACAAGGGGAUCCAGCCUUUCCAGUCGUGUCCACAGGCGCCAGGGCUGCCUUUUCAAUGUCUUCUAUGAAGAUGACUUCUCUCUGAGUGACUUCAGGCCCUGCCCACGCCAUACUCGCCUCUUCUUCGAUGGACUCAUUCCUAAAUGCCAGCUGAAGGGAAUACCAUCUCCUGAAUCCGACCCUCUUGGACAGAAACCUACGUUCCCACGAAACACCACAUGUCGUCCUGAA